GCCCUGGUGGCAUAGUGGUUAAGAGUUUGGCUGCUAACCAAAAGCUUGGCAGUUCGAAUCUACCCUAUGGGG
rnacentral:tRNA from 1 species